UACAUGUGGGGCAAGCGUUGUUCGGAAUUACUGGGCGUAAAGCGCACGUAGGCGGCUUUGCAAGUUAGAGGUGAAAGCCCGGGGCUCAACUCCGGAAUUGCCUUUAAAACUGCAUCGCUAGAGUUGUGGAGGGGUAAGUGGAAUUCCGAGUGUAGAGGUGAAAUUCGUAGAUAUUCGGAAGAACACCAGUGGCGAAGGCGACUUACUGGACACAUACUGACGCUGAGGUGCGAAAGCGUGGGGAGCAAACAGG
rnacentral:rRNA from 1 species